AUGUAUGUUUUGGUCAAGAACCCCGCCGGUAGGACGAUCCGCCUCAAGGUCCGUGAAUCAGAUACAUUGGGUUCUAUCAAGGCAAUGAUACAGGAACGUCACUUCCUCUUCUCCAACGGGGUGCAGCUAGACGACAACCGUACUCUGGCUGAUUACAACAUUCAGCAUGAGUCCAUGCUCGAGCUUCAAGAGAAGAUGCAGAUCUGCGUGACGGAGACGCUGAUGAAUAGGACUUUCCCCCUCGACGUCGACCGCCUGGAUACCAUCGACAACCUGAAGGCCAAGAUUGAGGACCUUGAGGGCUUCCCCAAGGCUCAACAGUGCCUCAUCUUCGACGGCAAGCGACUGGAGGACGGGAACAAAACCUUGGCCGACCACAAUAUUCUCAUGGAAUCAAAGAUUCUCCUCAUCCUUCUCCCGUGUAUUCCUAGAGGAGACAUGAUGCAGAUUAGUAUGAAGACGCUAGAAGGGAAGACCAUCACUCUCGAGGUUGGGAGCUUUGAUACCGUCGACAGUGUCAUGGUGAAGAUGUACGAGAUGAAAUACGCCCCUUACCCAAAGCAGCAGCGCCUCAUCUUUGCAGGCAAACAGCUGGAGAGAGGACGAACCCUAGUGGACUACAACAUUUGUAAAGACUGUAUCCUUCAUUUGGUGCUUUGCCUUUGCGGUUGUUGA
rnacentral:rRNA from 1 species